rnacentral:tRNA from 1 species
GUUAUUGUAGCUUAAUACCAAAGCACGGCACUGAAGUUGCCAAGAUGGAUUUUUAAAAACCCCAAAAACA